CAAUCGAGUGGCGAACGGGUGAGUAACGCGUGAGGAACCUGCCGUCAAAGAGGGGGGACAACAGUUGGAAACGACUGCUAAUACCGCAUAAGCCCACAGGUCGGCAUCGACCAGAGGGAAAAGGAGUAAUCCGCUUUGAGAUGGCCUCGCGUCCGAUUAGCUAGUUCGGUGAGGUAAACGGGCCCACCAAGGCGACGAUCGGUAGCCGGACUGAGAGGUUGAACGGCCACAUUGGGACUGAGACACGGCCCAGACUCCUACGGGAGGCAGCAGUCGGGGAAUAUUGCACAAUGGGGGAAACCCUGAUGCAGCGACGCCGCGUGGAGGAAGAAGGUCUUCGGAUUGUAAAACUCCUGUUGUUGAGGAAGAUAAUGACGGUACUCAACAAGGAAGUGACGGCUAACUACGUG
rnacentral:rRNA from 1 species